UCCAGAUUUUGGGGGUGGGUGGGUGGGUGGGAAGUGUUAUGAAAUUGUCUUUCUCCAGGCCAGAAAUAACCUGGGGAAAUUCUAAUCCAAGAACUGUGUGUUGAGCUGUUCCUUUUGAGCCAGCAUCACUUGUCAGUUAGCACCUGGUAUAAGUCUCAGCGUCCCCAGCGGUGUGAUGAGGGUUAUUUUUAUGGCAUUCCAUUUUCCUAAUGUCAUGUGUGAAAUUGGAUUUUCAUGAACUUAACCAAUGUUUUACCCAGUCAGGACUUCUUUUUCAACAUAGGGCAUCUCUCACUGGAAUGCCAGAGGGGAGGCUGGUUCAGAGAGAUAAAUCCCUGCGGAGAUAAGCUGUGAGUCACCCAGUGAGUCACGGAGGCCAGCAGCAGAGGAGGCAGGACCCACCAAGGUCUGCGGCAGAAAUAGUAUAGAGGCAAUACCUGGAGUUUCAGCAGCCAUCUUGUGACCAUGAAGUCAAUAGCCAUUUACCAAGGGUGGCAAACAAGAAAAUUAGCAAGAACCUGAGCCCCUGAUCAUGUGGAAUCAUCUCACCAGCUUUGGACAGCUUCUGGCCUACUGGAGAAUCUAAAGAAACUGAGAUACGGAGGUUAAUCUACUUCUGAAACAUGUCGCAACUAACCAGCAUCCGGGAUGGUCCAGAUGAUCCUCACCUCUUGGGUGCUCACACCUUUGUGUAAUCUUCUCUUACCCUGAAUCAGGACUGGUAUGUAGGGCAUGUCACAGAAGUCAAAGGGAAGCUUCAUAUGCCAACUGAAUGGGUCUCUUUUUCAUCAUUUUCUGUAACUUUCUUUUACAAGAUUCAUUAUGACUCUGGAAAUGUGGUAACAUCUGUCAUAAGGGACUCUAAUAAAGAUGAAAUCUGAAACAACUGGAAGAGGAAGCAUGGGUUAACGUUCCGGAGUCACUAGGAGUUAAUCACUCAGUACAGAUGAAAGCAAGAAGCUCAGGCUCCCAGUUGAAAUCGGGCACUUUCUGAGAUGAGAGUUCGCUCUGCGAAGGUCAGAAGAACUAAGGACACCGAAGGAGAGC